AAAAAAAAAAAAAAAAAAAUGGAAAAGGAGGUCUCUGAGGGCAAAAAUUGCUCUUCUAUUCAAAAAUUCCCGGUCUGUGCCUGGGUGCAAGCAGAUUUUCAUGGCUUGAUGAAGGCUCUGGAAUGCGUGGCUAAUGCUCUGCGGUGCUGAUGAAAGGAUGAGCUCUUAAGAAAAGCUUUUUCUUUCCGAGCAGCUGCCGCUGACUUUUCCGGCGCGAUAUUUGCAUUUCUAAGCGGCGUGAACGGCCCAUUCUUCACCUUUAAAUGCUCACGGUCUGCCUGCCCUGGCUGCUCCAUCCAUCCAUCCAUCCAUCCAUCCCUGCUCCAUCCAUCCCUGCUACUCCAUCCCUGCCUGCUCCAUCCAUCCCUGCCUGCUCCAUCCCUGCUCUAUCCCUGCCUGCUCCAUCCAUCCCUGCUACUCCAUCCCUGCCUGCUCCAUCCAUCCCUGCCUGCUCCAUCCAUCCCUGCCUGCUCCAUCCCUGGUGCUCCAUCCAUCCCUGCUUGCUCCAUCCCUGCUCCAUCCCUGCCUGCUCCAUCCCUGCUCCAUCCAUCCCUGGUGCUCCAUCCCUGCCUGCUCCAGCUCACUGAUGAUGCUUUAAUGCCACAAUUCUGCCUGUAUUAAUUUUUACAGCUGUUAGAGAGAUGCUAGGAGGGAAAUAGGAGCGUUCAGCCCUUCCCUGUCAGAUUAAACCAUGGAGCUCCGAGGCAAUAAAUAACAGUGAUUCACCCAGACAAUCUAAACCUCUCCAUUAAAGCACUCAGUAGGGUAAGGGGACCAUCACUGCUCUCCCGUGGUUUUUGUUUUCUUGAGAUGUUAAUAUUUAGCUCAUCCUGUUUUCCAUCCACCCUAAGCAGCCCUGAUCUCCUGAGGUAGGAAUGGGGAUGUCUCACUUUUUUGGGCAUUCAGCCCACAGGGGAUGCCUGGAGCCAUUAGCAGGAAUGGGUUUGUUUGCUUUUAUGACAUGAAUACUGAUUAUGGGCCUCACUGCUGCUCUGCCUUUUCUUAAUUCUUUAGAAUCGAAUCUUUCUCCUUCGGUGUGGAUUUGUUUCCACUAUUUUUCCUCAAGAUUUUUGUCCUUUCCACUAAUGUUGUAGCAUAGGAUAUGAAUUCC
rnacentral:lncRNA from 12 species